AUGUUUGGAUGCAAAUUUCUUUUUUUUUUUUUUUUGACAGAGUGGAUAGUGAGAGAGAGAGAGAGAAAGGUCUUCCUUUGCCGUUGGUUCACCCUCCAAUGGCCGCCACGGCUGGCGCGCAGUGGCCGGCGCACCGCGCUGAUCCGAUGGCAGGAGCCAGGUGCUUCUCCUGGUCUCCCAUGGGGUGCAGGGCCCAAGCACUUGGGCCAUCCUCCACUGCACUCCCUGGCCACAGCAGAGAGCUGGCCUGGAAGAGGGGCAACCGGGACAGAAUCCGUUGCCCCGACUGGGACUAGAACCCGGUGUGCCAGUGCCACUAGGUGGAGGAUUAGCCUAGUGAGCCGCGGCGCCAGAUGCAAAUUUCCAUGUUCUUUCAGCAGUGCCACGACUGCUCAGCGACUGGUAUUCACCACAAGAACUAGCUACCUGGGGCUGAAGUCCAAAGUAGCAGUGAGUUAUAUUGUUUUGUUAUUCCUUGGUUCAACUUUUAUUAAGAUUUACUUACUUGAAAAGCAGAGUGACAGAGAAGGAGGGAGGGAGGGAACGAAGGAGAGAGAGAGGGAGGAAGGGAACGAAGGAGAGAGAGAAGGAGGGAGGGAGAGAGAGAGAGAAUCUUUCAUCUGCUGGUUCACUCCCCAAAUGGCCAAAGCCAGGAGCCCAGAACUGCAUCUGGGUCUCCCACGUGGGUGGCAGGGAAGCAGGGAACUAAGUACUUGCGCCGUCUCCUACUGCUUUCCCAGGUGCACUGUCAGGGAGCUGGGUGGGAGGCACAGUAGCUGGGACUCACACUGGCACUCUGAUAUGGGAUGCCGCUGUCCCAGGUGCUGGCUUAACCCACUGUGCCACAGUGCUGCCCCCAGUUGGUUCCACUUUUUUAAAUGCCUGCUAUUCCUUGUCUUUAUUUUCCUGCCUAUGAGAUCUUACCCACUCUGUGAUGUGCCAGCGAUUAGAGGUGGAGGUGAGGGAGAAUGGAGAGAGUGGCCACAGGAUGGCAGAACUUGA
rnacentral:lncRNA from 1 species